AGAGUUGUUUAUUGCUCAUCAAAGAGAGAACUGGCAAGGUUUAUAUUUUUUGUAUAAAGGAAAUCUCCCCAGUGAAUUCAUCCAGGAGGGCUUGCUGUUCUUGUUUGCUGGUAACCCAGAGAUGGGGGACAUUAGCUAAGGUAAAAUGCUGAGAGCUUAUGAAUAAUUCCAGCUUUCACAUUGUUGCUGGCUCUGAUCUGGCCAGUUUGGAACACAGACAGAUGAAGUUUUGGCCACAACUGAAGAGCUCUGGAGACCAUGAAGAACUCUGAGGAUGAAUAAAUAUUGAGUGACUACUUUCAAAACUGGCUAUGCCUGAAGGAAGCUGAGGAUGAUGCUGUUCUCCUAAGUCAGUGAGUGUCUGGAGGAGGGAAAUGUUGCUCACUGAAUGUGCAGAGACUUCCAUUUUUCCAGGUUUCUAAGUGAAGGCUCAGGCUAGUAUACGUUAGCAGCCCUUAGAAACUGAACCCAGCUCUGGUUGCUGCCGUCAGUGCCUAUCAGAAUGGCUACACUCCACCAAACAGACUGUUUCUCAGGAAUCUUUCUUCCAGAUUUACAAUGUCAUUCAGGGCUAAAGUUGGACACAGGUUUUCACUGAAAGCUUUUUUCUUUUUUUUUCCUCAUUGUCAAAAUACAUGAAGUGAGACUGACCAAAACAGCUCAUGAAAUUAUGUUUAAUUCAGCCCAAAGUUGUUCCAAAGAGUUCUUUUUCCUAGUGUACCUUUGAGAAGAAGUUCUUCCAAAAAUCACAAUACAUCAUUUCAACAUUUUCAAAAUUAAACACUUUGAUUUUUUUGAAAACACCAGAAGACUCCUGCUCCACGAAAUAAAACAAAAAAACAGAAAGCAAAAAUUCUUUUCACACAGCUUUCUUCCAAGCCUCCACUUCAGCAAGUGAAGGAGGAUAAGUGUUCUGUUAGACCUCGUUGAUGCAGAAACAGCGUGAUAAAUAUUUUAUGAACGGGAUCCAGUAAACACACAGCAGUAGGAUGCUGCAGUGAUUAAAGGAAGUGUUUAAAAUUAGAGACAGAUCCUAAGUCCAGUUACCAUGAAGCAGUGCUAACUCACGCUGGAACAGGAUGUUCAGCCCUCCCGGAUAGUCCUGGCAGUGUCUGCUCUGUGGACUAUUUGCUGACUUCUAAAGAAACACACACGUGCCUUCACAGAAUGAGAAGUUAUUUUUAAUGCAUAUGCACUUUAUUCAAAAAUGAAGGCAAGCUGCAAAGCAGUGGAAGCAAAGUCCAUUUUGUCAUGACUUGAUCACAGGGAGAAGGUCUGGAGUCACCCGGAGUUUAGAGAUGGAUUUGCCCUGUCUCUCUGAACCAUACACUUCUGCUGAACAACGUUCCUCCUCUCUCCCUAUCUGAUGCCAGCUAUGAGGCCCUAAUUGCAGAGGUACUGACUGACAGGUGGAGGGCCAGGGAGACUCUGUGUGGUGCCGAAGGACGUGUCUCCCAGAAUGGACUGAACCUUGUGAUUGCCUUAGGACACCAUUUGCCAUCCAUUGAACUGUUAACAAAAACUCUAGAGAUGGGCUGGACUGAAAACAACUUGGAGCUGCUGGCACUGACAAUAUGGACAGAAAACUUUGUAACUCCAAGCUGGAGCUGAAUUUGGCUCCCAGGGUUUAAAAUUUUACUUGUACAGUUGUUAAAUUUACUUAUUCAAAGCCAUCAGACCCAUGGCAUUCAUAAAUACCUAUCCCUAUCUGCCUCCGUAUCUCUCCAAACUAUUGUUCUCAGCUAAGACUCUGUUAUCCUUUAGAAAAGCCUUUUAUAUUUGGCUUCCAUUAGGGUAAAGCUCAGCCAGACAAAUAAUAAUGCUUAAACUACUUAAAAUCUUGAAAGUGGUUUAUGUGGCUUAAACCCUCAGAGCCACUUCUAUAGUUCAACCUACUUUAAAUGUUAAGAGUAGUUUAAACCACCUUUGGCUCACAUGGCUUGAAGAAGCUCACAUGUCCACUACACAUAGUAUAAGCCCAAGGUCAUGUGAAAAGUUCACUUUUUCUUUAUAUCCACAUCUCUGACAUACCUUGUCAAACUUGCAUCCCAGAGUAAAGUGAUCAUAAGAACAUCAGUAGCCACAUGGUGAAAAAUGUUUAAAAUUCUCAAAUCAUGUAGAACAUAACUUUAAACAGAUGUGUCUUGGAGGUGCUUUAAGAAACAAGUAAAGUCAGCAAGAGAUCUUUGUCACCUGAGUAUCUGCACUGGAUAAAGGCUCUUGGUUUGAACCCCAUAUGUGUACCAGGAGGAAAAAAAUGCUUAAAAAACUCAUAACUUUUAAUGUUGGACAGUACUGUUCAACAUGCAGCUGAGUGAGAUCUAUAGAACAAGUAAUGUUAGGAGCUUCUGUUUUCAACAAACACAGUGCAGAACUCAAAAUUACUUGCUGGAACUUGUAGGGAAAUUGUACUCAGAAUCUUAGUUCCCAGGAUUCCUUUUAACUGAUUUUGCUCCUUUAAGAAAACGUUGGUCUUCAAGUUAAAAUCCAAUACAGGAUGUUUCAGUCUGAAUAGAGCUUGAUGAAAGAUGAAAGAAACUAUAGAGAAUUCAUAAACAGAAAUGUUGGGUGAGAGUAUUCAUUAUUAGACUUCAAAUCUUGUAGAUGGCUUGUGUGUGUAAGUGUAACGGAGAGAGUGUUCAUAAGAUAUGCUUCCUCUUUUAUGUCAUUUUAUUAUUGGUCCUGUUUAUCUAAUCUAUGCUAGCUAAUCUUAGCAGCUCCCAGGUGCUCCAUAUUUUUAUCUUGUACCGUGUAAUUUUUAUCUUGUACCUUCAAAAUAAUACAAAGCCAUCAGUUAUGAAACCAAAACACAAAUAUAUACAUUCCAGCUCAUAACUAUUUCAGGGCAUCUCCUGCCCCAGCAUAUUGGCUGAUAGACUUCGUGAAUGCAAUGUCAGCUGCAGUUCUCGCAAGACAGCUUCCUUGUUCACAGUUUUUAAUCGUGGAUGUGAGUGACCAUGUCCUUACUUUCAAGAACAUUGGUGCUAGCCAAUUGCCGCUACGUAGAUGAUGGCUCAUGGGAGGAAGGGGAAGGAGUGGGGAAAGACAGAGGACAGAAAAAUGGAAGUGUGCAGUUAAGCUGUUCCUUGUUUUCCUCCUGCAUGCAAAGAGCAGCAGGAGAGCAGUGACAGAACAUCUUUGUCUUCUUGAAGAAUGAUGCCAUAGCCUAAGCAGCUGUUCCCUAGCCAAGGAACAGUUCAACCUCAGAAUAAAUCUGAAUAAAUCAAGGAAUUCCCUCUUCUUGGAAACAUAUGCUAUCCUUUUCUGCUUUCAGUUGAAAUUUCUUUCCAGAAACCCUGGCUUUUCUGGGGGGUGCUUUACUUGGAGAUCCUUUGCGUUCUUCCUGCCUGUGGAGUGUGAACUGCCAUCAUAGGUGAUGGUCAAGGAGAACUCCAAAUUGUCCUUAUAACUAUAGCAAGCCUCUCAGAUACAGCAAACAAAUUACCGUACAAAGGCAAGGGCUUCUGAGGUAAGGAGUAUGUUCCUCAUUAAACACUUUGAAAAAAGGCUGCUUCAAACUGGAAUGCCUCUUACAAGGCCAGCUAUGCUAUUCCCUGUUAUGGCUGGUACAGCUCCUCGAAAGUGAGUGGCUCUUCUUUAUAUUCUCUGUCUCUGUGGUAUGGGAGGGAAAUGCAAACCAAUACACCCAAAUUAAUGAAGACCGCAGGCCUGGUGAAGAGAUUACUCAUGUCUUGUUCUUUCUGUUCUGAGAAGGAGUUUCGCCCUGGAGAAAGACAAGUGCCAGCUCUGCCCCUUUGUGUCCCCUAGGAGUGUGGCUCUGGAAGGCAGCUAGGACUUCACCAGAUGACUCCAGUGGAGCAUAGGUGGUCCCUCUGAUCCAUGCCACUCUGAACUGGAAGACAUGGUAGAAACUUAGGGGUGGAAGGACACUUGCCAGAGACAGAGUCAAUUUUCCUUCCUGUCCUGUACAUCAGUGAGACAGGAUCUUUGCUACUCAGUGUCAUGAUAAUAAGCCUUAACUUGUUUUGUCUAAGUUAAUAAAGAUAAUUGUGGCACCCAGCUUCA